UACGUAGGGUGCAAGCGUUGUCCGGAAUUAUUGGGCGUAAAGAGCUCGUAGGCGGUCUGUCGCGUCUGCUGUGAAAACUCGGGCUUAACCCCGGCCUGCAGUGGGUACGGGCAGACUAGAGUGCGGUAGGGGAGACUGGAAUUCCUGGUGUAGCGGUGAAAUGCGCAGAUAUCAGGAGGAACACCGGUGGCGAAGGCGGGUCUCUGGGCCGUAACUGACGCUGAGACACGAAGGCCAGGGGAGCAAACGGG
rnacentral:rRNA from 1 species